GCGAUCUCCAAUGGAGAGGCAACACGAAUUGUAAGAGGAACUCCAUGGCCUGAAGCGCUGACCCAUUCCUCCCUAGAGCAGAGACCUUCUUCCCCUUCCUGUGCACCAGCUCUUUUCAGAUUAGCCAAUCGAAUAAGACUGUGAGGUCAGACCCCAGCCAAUGGGGGAAAAGACACAGCCACUGAGCUAGAAUAAAAACCCAGGGCACUUCCUGUCAUCGUGCACGGCUCUUCCCUCAAGCACACCAACCCCUUGAUCGAGAGUAAAGUUUGUCUUAUCUG
rnacentral:lncRNA from 1 species